rnacentral:rRNA from 1 species
UACGUAGGGUGCAAGCGUUGUCCGGAAUUAUUGGGCGUAAAGAGCUCGUAGGCGGUUUGUCGCGUCUGCUGUGAAAACUCGGGGCUUAACCCCGGGCCUGCAGUGGGUACGGGCAGACUAGAGUGCGGUAGGGGAGACUGGAAUUCCUGGUGUAGCGGUGAAAUGCGCAGAUAUCAGGAGGAACACCGGUGGCGAAGGCAGGUCUCUGGGCCGAUACUGACGCUGAGGAGCGAAAGCGUGGGGAGCGAACAGG